AAUAGCAUAUUCAUUUGACGUUAGCUGCAGAAGAAGCACCGGCUAACUCCGUGCCAAGCAGCCGCGGUAAUACGGAGGGUGCGAGCGUUAAUCGGAAUUACUGGGCGUAAAAGCGCAUGCAGGUGGUUUGUUAAGUCAGAUGUGAAAAGCCCCGGGGCUCAACCUCGGAAUUGCAUUUGAAACUGGCAAACUAGAGUACUGUAGAGGGGGGUAGAAUUUCAGGUGUAGCGGUGAAAUGCGUAGAGAUCUGAAGGAAUACCGGUGGCGAAGGCGGCCCCCUGGACAGAUACUGACACUCAGAUGCGAAAGCGUGGGGAGCAAACAGGAUUAGAUACCCUGGUAG
rnacentral:rRNA from 1 species